GCCUGGUCUCAAUGCAAUGGUGUUUACAACUAUAAUAAUUGAUCACAACCAGGGCCAGAUUUCUUUGUUCCGUCUCCACUCCCACUGCUUGACUUGACUAGCCUUAA
rnacentral:Y_RNA from 1 species